rnacentral:tmRNA from 1 species
GGCUCUGUUUUUCUAUCGCUUUGCCGCUAUAUUGGGGGUGCCGGUUCGCCGGCUAUGGAAAUAAAUGACCGUCGCAAUAAACCAUUCGGACCCGGGGGCGGUACCCGGCGCCUCCACCAAAACCCAUCUGAGCCCCCUUCGGUGGCUUUUGGCGGGGGCGAAAUAGGAUCGACGAGGGCGUAAAGGGCGUGUUUUUUCUCGGUAUGGUUCCGCCGUUAUCGGGCUAAUGCAAUAGUUGCCAACGACAACUUUGCUCCGGUUGCUCAGGCUGCGUAACGCAGUUUGAAAGACCAUCUUAAAGUCCUAGCGGGUUAAGCUCCGCUAGGCGGGGUUCGGAGGCACCUGGCAACAGAAGCCUCCACU